GACAGAAAGGGCAAGCGUUAUUCAUCUUAGCUUGGGCGUAAAGGGUAUGUAGGCGGGCUAUAAAACUUAAUAGAAAAUCUUGGUUCAAUAUCAAGGACUAUUUCGAACUUUAGCCUAGAGUUGGGUACGUGUUAAAAGUAUUUAAGGUGUAAAGGUAAAAUUCUGCAAUAUCUUAAGGAGGGCCAAGAAGGCGGAAGCAUUUAACAAGAACUAUUACUGACGCUGAGGUACGAAGGUAUGGGUAUCAAACAGG
rnacentral:rRNA from 1 species